rnacentral:rRNA from 1 species
GUAUUAUUGGGCCUAAACGUCCGUAGCCGGUCUUCUAAAUGCCUGGGUAAAUCGUAUGGCUUAACCAUACGAAUUCUGGGUAGACUGUUAGACUUGAGACCGGGAGAGGCUAGAGGUACUCCUGGGGUAGAGGUGAAAUUCUGUAAUCCUAGGGGGACGACCAGUGGCGAAGGCGUCUAGCUAGAACGGGUCUGACGGUGAGGGACGAAGCCCUGGGGCGCAAACGGGAUUAGAUACCCCGGUAGUCCAGGGUGUAAACGCUGCUUGCUUGAUGUUAGUCUGGCUCCGAGCCAGAUUAGUGUCGGAGAGAAGUUGUUAAGCAAGCUGCCUGGGAAGUACGGCCGCAAGACUGAAACUUAAAGGAAUUGGCGGGGGAGCACAA